rnacentral:rRNA from 1 species
UCGGGAAUAUUGGACAAUGGGCGCAAGCCUGAUCCAGCCAUGCCGCGUGUGUGGUGAAGGCCCUAGGGUUGUAAAGCACUUUCAGUGGGGAAGAUAAUGACGGUACCCACAGAAGAAGCCCCGGCUAACUUCGUGCCAGCAGCCGCGGUAAUACGAAGGGGGCUAGCGUUGUUCGGAAUUACUGGGCGUAAAGCGCGCGUAGGCGGACUCUUAAGCCAGUUGUGAAAUCCCGGGGCUCAACCCCGGAACUGCAUUUGGAACUGGGAGUCUAGUCGACAGGAGAGGUUCGUGGAAUGCCGAGUGUAGAGGUGAAAUUCGCAGAUAUUCGGUGGAACACCAGUGGCGAAGGCGACGAGCUGGACUGAUACUGACGCUGAGGCGCGAAAGUGUGGGGAGCAAACAGGAUUAGAUACCCGUGUAGUCC